rnacentral:lncRNA from 1 species
GCUCUGACUGCGGGAACCGUUGAAGAGCUGCCCCCGGGGAGUCAGCGAGGCGCCACUGGUCUCUUAGACAUCUUCUCAAGAUUAUGCUAAGAGAAAUGACUGCACCCUUUUCCUGAGCUAUGGCAGUCAGACCUGGCAGUGGUAACUACUCUACAGAACUCCCAAACCUGGCAAGGAUGGUGCAGAUUUUGGCAGAUUAUGGCUUUGUCCCCACCCAGCACUGAUGAUAUUAUAAAAUAUGACACCUUCAAGUAUAAGCAACCAAAGAAAACUAGAUAAAUUGGACCUCAUAAAGUAAAACAAACAAAAACCUUUUGCUUCAAAGGAUACCACUAAGCAAGCGAAAAGACAACACAUAGAAUGUGAGAAAAAGGUUGUAAAUCCUAUAUAUGACAAGGCACCUGUAUCCAGAAUAAAGAACCUCUUAAAACUC